rnacentral:rRNA from 1 species
GACGAACGCUGGCGGCGUGCUUAACACAUGCAAGUCGAACGGAAAGGCCCUGCUUUUGUGGGGUGCUCGAGUGGCGAACGGGUGAGUAACACGUGAGUAACCUGCCCUUGACUUUGGGAUAACUUCAGGAAACUGGGGCUAAUACCGGAUAGGAGCCUCUGCUGCAUGGUGGGGGUUGGAAAGUUUCGGCGGUUGGGGAUGGACUCGCGGCUUAUCAGCUUGUUGGUGGGGUAGUGGCUUACCAAGGCUUUGACGGGUAGCCGGCCUGAGAGGGUGACCGGCCACAUUGGGACUGAGAUACGGCCCAGACUCCUACGGGGGGCAGCAGUGGGGAAUAUUGCACAAUGGGCGGAAGCCUGAUGCAGCAACGCCGCGUGCGGGAUGACGGCCUUCGGGUUGUAAACCGCUUUCGCCUGUGACGAAGCGUGAGUGACGGUAAUGGGUAAAGAAGCACCGGCUAACUACGUG